CCCAGUGUCUGUCUCUCUCUCUCUCUCUCUCUCUCUCUCUAUAUAUAUAUAUAUAUAUAUAUAUAUAGAGAGAGAGAGAGAGAGAGAGAGAGAGAGAGAGGUUUUUUUUUUU
rnacentral:sRNA from 1 species